ensembl:rRNA 5S_rRNA 5S ribosomal RNA
GCUUACGGCCAUACCACCCUGAGCGCGUCUGAUCUCGGAAGCUAAGCAGGGUCGGGCCUGGUUAGUACUUGGAUGGGAGACCACCUGGUAAUACCAACUGCUGUAAGCU